GGAAAGGCAAGAGGCUGUGAUGUUGAAGUUGGGACUGCUGACAUGGAUUGACUCAAGAACGGCGACUAGAAUUUGCUCAUUUCUUUGAAAGACUUAUGAUGGCACACUUGUAAUCACAGCAGACAUGGCAGGCACCAUAGCAGUUCAAAAGGAUGAGCCUGCAAGUAUCAUCCAGGCUCAAGAUAUUUCUCCACAGCAGCUAACUCCAGCCACAAGACAAAUUUUAAGAUGUAAAAGUAGGCCUGUUUGAUGGAACAAUCCACCUGCUUCAGUUCCAGCACUGCACCGAGUUUUACAAAAGUUUUAAAGGGAAAAAUAAGGGUUUUUAGAACCUGUACUAAGUCAAGUUGACAUUUAGAAAUAGAUGUUUAUCUGUACAUAACAAGAGAUGCAACAGACGUCAUUUGCAGAAGUCAUGUCCUUCUUGAUUUUGAAAACUUAAUUGGUAAGAUAUUAAAUAUAAUUAUGUUUUACUUCAGCUGGAAAUCUCUUAUUUUUCAUUUGAAGCAAAAGAAAGAAAACUACACAUAAUGAAAGCAGCAUUCAGAUAAAAGUCUCUCACAUUAAUUAUAAAUCAUCAUUCUGUGUUGAAAGAGUUCAAGUAUACUUCAGCAUAUCUCCUGUGCAGUGGCUUGUUUUGCCCUUUAAUAACUUAAAUAAGCACUUCCUAACAAGAAACAAUUUAGCAGAAGAGGAAUUGCUUUGCAAAGGUUCCUUCUGUUCAAGAUAUGUUAUUUCUGCCUCCUCCCAUUCCAUCUUGGCUGCUUUGAUUUUCUCACCUUACAUGAAAGGUUGGUGUUAAGCCAGCACAUUUACUGGUGGAAGUGAACUGACGUGAUUGCCUUUAUGUCCCUGGGUGAUGGGGUAUGAAGAAGAUUUCUCUAACUACUGAAAAGAUUCCUUUGCCUACACCAAGCACUCCAGAGGUCCAUACAUAUGCUGGCAAGCAAGCAGGCUCUGACAGUGACAGUCUCAGAACUGCAGAGAUGCUGCAACCUCCACAGAAGGAAAUGUGUUUCAAACUCAGCUUUUCUGUACAGCAUUGCCUUUGCUCUGAAGGUAGAUGAAAACUAAAUCGAUUAUCCUGUCCUUUGAUAAAAAGGUGCCUGAACUAAGGAGUGUAAGUGUGCCUGAGACGUUGACCUUAGGUGCAUGAGGACUGCUCAGCAGCACCUGCUCAGAGAGAAGGAAAAAAUGGCAGCUACACUAUCAGGACCAAAGAUGCACACAAGCCAGCAUGCCAUCUGACUACAGCAUGUGGGAAAAGACUAGAUGAAUAAUACCACAAGCAGGCACAAGUCCUUCUUCCACUGGGCCUCAGCCUCUGGAUAUCACAGGCUCAGACUUCCCAAACAAAAGAUGUUGUCUUCCUAACAGUUGGUCCUUGGACUUUUCUUCCUUGAAUAUGC
rnacentral:lncRNA from 1 species